UACGUAGGGUGCAAGCGUUUAAUCGGAAUUACUGGGCGUAAAGCGUGCGCAGGCGGUUAUGUAAGACAGAUGUGAAAUGCCCGGGCUUAACCUGGGAACUGCAUUUGUGACUGCAUGGCUAGAGUUUGGCAGAGGGGGGUAGAAUUCCACGUGUAGCAGUGAAAUGCGUAGAUAUGUGGGAGGAACACCGAUGGCGCAAGGCAGCCCCCUGGGUCAAGACUGACGCUCAUGCACGAAAGCGUGGGGAGCAAACAGG
rnacentral:rRNA from 1 species